AUUGAACGCUGGCGGCAGGCCUAACACAUGCAAGUCGAACGGUAACAGGAAGAUGCUUGCUUCUUUGCUGACGAGUGGCGGAAGGGUGAGGAAUGUCUGGGAAACUGCCUGAUGGAGGGGGAUAACUACUGGAAACGGUAUCUAAGACCGCAGAACGUCGCAAGACCAAAAAGGGGGAGCUUUGUGCCUCUUGCCUUCGGACGCGCCCAGAUGGGUUUUGCUAGUAGGUGGGGUAUCGGCUGACCUAGGCGACGAUCCCUAGCGGGUCUGAGAGGGUGACCAGCCACGCUGGAGCUGAGCCACGGUCCAGACUCCUACGGGAGGCCGCAGUGGGGAAUAUUGCACAAUGGGCGCAAGCCUGAUGCAGCCAUGCCGCGUGUAUGAAGAAGGCCUUCGGGUUGUAAAGUACUUUCCGCGGGGAGGAAGGGAGUAAAGUUAAUACCUUUGCUCAUUGACGUUACCCGCAGAAGAAGCACCGGCUAACUCCGUG
rnacentral:rRNA from 1 species